GCUGAGGCUCGAAAGUAUGGGUAGCAAACAGGAUUAGAUACCCUGGUAGUCCAUACCGUAAACGAUGAAUGCUAAGUGUUGGAGGGUUUCCGCCCUUCAGUGCUGCAGCUAACGCAUUAAGCAUUCCGCCUGGGGAGUACGGCCGCAAGGCUGAAACUCAAAGGAAUUGACGGGGGCCCGCACAAGCGGUGGAGCAUGUGGUUUAAUUUGAAGCUACGCGAAGAACCUUACCAGGUCUUGACAUACUAUGCAAAUCUAAGAGAUUAGACGUUCCCUUCGGGGACAUGGAUACAGGUGGUGCAUGGUUGUCGUCAGCUCGUGUCGUGAGAUGUUGGGUUAAGUCCCGCAACGAGCGCAACCCUUAUUAUCAGUUGCCAGCAUUAAGUUGGGCACUCUGGUGAGACUGCCGGUGACAAACCGGAGGAAGGUGGGGAUGACGUCAAAUCAUCAUGCCCCUUAUGACCUGGGCUACACACGUGCUACAAUGGAUGGUACAACGAGUUGCGAACUCGCGAGAGUAAGCUAAUCUCUUAAAGCCAUUCUCAGUUCGGAUUGUAGGCUGCAACUCGCCUACAUGAAGUCGGAAUCGCUAGUAAUCGCGGAUCAGCAUGCCGCGGUGAAUACGUUCCCGGGCCUUGUACACACCGCCCGUCACACCAUGAGAGUUUGUAACACCCAAAGUCGGUGGGGUAACCUU
rnacentral:rRNA from 2 species